UCACAAAGGUAGGGGAAAAAAAAAAAAAAGCAAACUCCUAUAAUUCAAGAAACUACAAGAGAAACCAUCUUAAGGCAAGAUGGUUUCUUAGCCGCAAUCUUAGCCGCAAGAGCGCUGUGUAGUGAUGCUCGGUGUUUCAAACUGUUCUUUCUCUCUCGACUCUAGUAACAUGAGAUUUAUCAAGCUGCUAAAAUGCAGAGACUUGGAAAGGUCGGCUUUCCUCCAUAUACUUUUCCAAGUCAGGCGGACAGAAUUCUUCAGCAGUACUUCAAUGAAUGAGAUGCUGGCAGAAGCCUGUACAUCCCUGAGUCUUGAAAGUCAGAUGAUGGUUGUAUGAAUCCCAUUCUGCUCUUAGGAAGAUGCUUCUAUAAGAAGAGGACAGAAAAAAGAUUCUGAAAGCAUUCCCAUGAACUUCCACAGUAAUAGAAAGUGAAUCAGGCUCAAAGAUUACAGGUUGGAGACUAUGUAACAACAAACACCAUACUCUGAGGUAAAUCAGUAGGCUAUGUUUUUAUAUUUCUUAUAGCAUCACUGUAAGACUCUAAUCCUUUGGAACAUGAAUGUUAUCCCACUAAACUGUAUCCUUGUCCUUGUUUGUUGGUGUUAUCUUGUUUGUUCAUAUCUUAUGAAUUUCUUGUAUUUCACUUUUUUGUCUUCUUUCUCUGAUAAGAAUUCCUUUCUGCUGUCAAAACGUGUUGUGUAUAAUUGAGCCUGAGUAAGUCUGUGCAGUCAACCCAUUUGGAUACUCUGGUAUGCAGCAUCACCAAAACAGUUUCCCAAACUCUCUACUCCCAUUAUUCUGGUUUCCCAGAACACUCCUCCCUCUCUCUGCCAGAUGCUAUCUCAUUCUGGGUCUGACUUGAGUAUUUAAUCAGUUCUACUUUCAGCAGCUUGCUCCCCACAGAUGUUAUUUGAUCUCAUUCCCCCCCCCCCCCCCCAACCCCCCUUCUUUUUUUCCUCCUCCCUCUUUCAGUUUUGAUCUAGUUCCAGAGUUUCAUUAUCUGAUUGAUUUGUUCUGGUAGACCUUUAAUUUCUUCAUCUUUUAAUAAGUCUUAUGAGGAUUGUUUUCUCACUUUGUAGCUUAGUGAUGUCUGCUUUUCCCAUUUAAUAUGUACAGGCUGCGAAUCACUUCUACCAGACUUUAUCUUGGUCUCCAGCACUGUUCAGUUCAUGGUUGUUAUCUGGCUUUUCCCAGUAGUUGUUUGGCUUAGACUCAAGAAUUUAAGAGUAUAAAAAUGCCUGCUAUUGACAUCAGAAGACAAUUAGCAGCUUACUUCGGAGAUUUUGACUCAAAAUUUUUAAUUUUUUUUUGUUUCCUUCUACAUAUUCCUCCUGGCUAUGGUUAAUUUUUGAGGACUGUUGUGAGAUAGACUAGAGAAGUUAUACUUACUGCAAUAAAAAUGUUUUCAGUCACCUUAUUUCCA
rnacentral:lncRNA from 1 species